rnacentral:rRNA from 1 species
AGCAGCCGCGGUAAUUCCAGCUCCAAUAGCGUAUAUUAAAGUUGUUGCAGUUAAAAAGCUCGUAGUUGAAUUUCGGGGUUAAUAGGUUGGUCAUGCCUCUGGUAUGUACUGGUCUCACUGAUUCCUCCUUCCUGAUGAGCCGUAAUGCCAUUAAUUUGGUGUUGCGGGGAAUUUGGACUGUUACUUUGAAAAAUUAGAGUGUUUAAAGCAAGCUAACGCUUGAAUACAUUAGCAUGGAAUAAUGAAAUAGGACGUUCGAUCCUAUUUUGUUGGUUUCUAGGAUUGACGUAAUGAUUAAUAGGGAUAGUUGGGGGCAUUAGUAUUCAAUUGUCAGAGGUGAAAUUCUUGGAUUUAUUGAAGACUAACUACUGCGAAAGCAUUUGCCAAGGAUGUUUUCAUUAAUACAAGAACGAAAGUUAGGGGAUCGAAGACGAUCAGAUACCGUCGUAGUCUUUAACCAUAAACUAUGCCGACUAGGGAUCGGAUGAUGUUAAUUUUUAAUGUACUCA